rnacentral:rRNA from 1 species
AAUAUUGGACAAUGGGCGCAAGCCUGAUCCAGCCAUGCCGCGUGAGUGAUGAAGGCCNNNGGGUUNUCAAGCUCUUUCACCGGNGACNAUAAUGACGGUAACCGGAGAAGAAGCCCCGGCUAACUUCGUGCCAGCAGCCGCGGUAAUACGAAGGGGGCUAGCGUUGUUCGGAAUUACUGGGCGUAAAGCGCACGUAGGCGGAUUAUUAAGUCGGGGGUGAAAUCCCGCAGCUCAACUGCGGAACUGCCUUUGAUACUGGUAAUCUAGAGACCGAGAGAGGUAAGUGGAACUCCUAGUGUAGAGGUGGAAUUCGUAGAUAUUAGGAAGAACACCAGUGGCGAAGGCGGCUUACUGGCUCGGAACUGACGCUGAGGUGCGAAAGCGUGGGGAGCAAAC